GACGAACGCUGGCGGCGUGCUUAACACAUGCAAGUCGAACGGAAAGGCCCUGCUUUUGUGGGGUGCUCGAGUGGCGAACGGGUGAGUAACACGUGAGUAACCUGCCCUUGACUUUGGGAUAACUUCAGGAAACUGGGGCUAAUACCGGAUAGGAGCUCCUGCUGCAUGGUGGGGGUUGGAAAGUUUCGGCGGUUGGGGAUGGACUCGCGGCUUAUCAGCUUGUUGGUGGGGUAGUGGCUUACCAAGGCUUUGACGGGUAGCCGGCCUGAGAGGGUGACCGGCCACAUUGGGACUGAGAUACGGCCCAGACUCCUACGGGAGGCAGCAGUGGGGAAUAUUGCACAAUGGGCGGAAGCCUGAUGCAGCAACGCCGCGUGCGGGAUGACGGCCUUCGGGUUGUAAACCGCUUUCGCCUGUGACGAAGCGUGAGUGACGGUAAUGGGUAAAGAAGCACCGGCUAACUACGUGCCAGCAGCCGCGGUGAUACGUAGGGUGCGAGCGUUGUCCGGAUUUAUUGGGCGUAAAGGGCUCGUAGGUGGUUGAUCGCGUCGGAAGUGUAAUCUUGGGGCUUAACCCUGAGCGUGCUUUCGAUACGGGUUGACUUGAGGAAGGUAGGGGAGAAUGGAAUUCCUGGUGGAGCGGUGGAAUGCGCAGAUAUCAGGAGGAACACCAGUGGCGAAGGCGGUUCUCUGGGCCUUUCCUGACGCUGAGGAGCGAAAGCGUGGGGAGCGAACAGGCUUAGAUACCCUGGUAGUCCACGCUGUAAACGGUGGGUACUAGGUGUGGGGUCCAUUCCACGGGUUCCGUGCCGUAGCUAACGCUUUAAGUACCCCGCCUGGGGAGUACGGCCGCAAGGCUAAACUCAAAGGAAUUGACGGGGCCCCGCACAAGCGGCGGAGCAUGCGGAUUAAUUCGAUGCAACGCGUAGAACCUUACCUGGGUUUGACAUGGAUCGGGAGUGCUCAGAGAUGGGUGUGCCUCUUUUGGGGUCGGUUCACAGGUGGUGCAUGGCUGUCGUCAGCUCGUGUCGUGAGAUGUUGGGUUAAGUCCCGCAACGAGCGCAACCCUUGUUCACUGUUGCCAGCACGUUAUGGUGGGGACUCAGUGGAGACCGCCGGGGUCAACUCGGAGGAAGGUGGGGAUGACGUCAAGUCAUCAUGCCCCUUAUGUCCAGGGCUUCACGCAUGCUACAAUGGCUGGUACAGAGAGUGGCGAGCCUGUGAGGGUGAGCGAAUCUCGGAAAGCCGGUCUCAGUUCGGAUUGGGGUCUGCAACUCGACCUCAUGAAGUCGGAGUCGCUAGUAAUCGCAGAUCAGCAACGCUGCGGUGAAUACGUUCCCGGGGCU
rnacentral:rRNA from 1 species